GGCUCUGUGGCUUAGUUGGUUAAAGCGCUUGUCUCGUAAACAGGCAAUCCUGGGUUCGUAAUCCCAGCAGGGCCU